GCUCAGAUUGAACGCUGGCGGCAUGCUUUAACAUGCAAGUCGAACGGCAGCGCGGGCUUCGGCCUGGCGGCGAGUGGCGAACGGGUGAGAAUAUAUCGGAACGUACCCGGCAAUGGGGGAUAACGUAGCGAAAGUUACGCUAAUACCGAUAUGCCCUGAGGGGGAAAGCAGGGGACCAGCAAUGGCCUUGCGUUGUCGGAGCGGCCGUAUCGGAUUAGCUAGUUGGUGAGGUAAAGGCUCACCAAGGCGACGAUCCGUAGCGGGUCGAGAGGAUGAUCCGCCACACUGGGACUGAGACACGGCCCAGACUCCUACGGGAGGCAGCGUGGGGAAUUUUGGACAAUGGGGGAAACCCUGAUCCAGCCAUGCCGCGUGAGUGAAGAAGCCUUCGGGUUGUAAAGCUCUUUCAGGUGGAAAGAAAAGGUCAUUCAUAAUACGGAUGAUGAUGACGGUACCAUCAGAAGAAGCACCGGCUAACUACGUGCCAGCAGCCGCGGUAAU
rnacentral:rRNA from 1 species